rnacentral:rRNA from 1 species
UGGGGAAUAUUGGGCAAUGGGCGAAAGCCUGACCCAGCAACGCCGCGUGAAGGAAGAAGGUUUUCGGAUUGUAAACUUCUUUUAUCAGGGACGAAGAAAGUGACGGUACCUGAUGAAUAAGCCACGGCUAACUACGUGUCAGCAGCCGCGGUAAUACGUAGGUGGCAAGCGUUAUCCGGGUUUACUGGGUGUAAAGGGCGCGUAGGCGGGGAUGCAAGUCAGAUGUGAAAUCUAUGGGCUUAACCCAUAAACUGCAUUUGAAACUGUUAUUCUUGAGUACUGGAGAGGUUGACGGAAUUCCUAGUGUAGCGGUGAAAUGCGUAGAUAUUAGGAGGAACACCAGUGGCGAAGGCGGUCAACUGGACAGCAACUGACGCUGAGGCGCGAA